UGGGGAAUAUUGCACAAUGGGCGCAAGCCUGAUGCAGCCAUGCCGCGUGUAUGAAGAAGGCCUUCGGGUUGUAAAGUACUUUCAGUCGGGAGGAAGGUGUCAAGGUUAAUAACCUUGGCAAUUGACGUUACCGACAGAAGAAGCACCGGCUAACUCCGUGCCAGCAGCCGCGGUAAUACGGAGGGUGCAAGCGUUAAUCGGAAUUACUGGGCGUAAAGCGCACGCAGGCGGUUGAUUGAGUCAGAUGUGAAAUCCCCGGGCUUAACCCGGGAAUUGCAUCUGAUACUGGUCAGCUAGAGUCUUGUAGAGGGGGGUAGAAUUCCAUGUGUAGCUGUGAAAUGCGUAGAGAUGUGGAGGAAUACCGGUGGCGAAGGCGGCCCCCUGGACAAAGACUGACGCUCAGGUGCGAAAGCGUGGGGAGCAAACAGG
rnacentral:rRNA from 1 species